rnacentral:lncRNA from 1 species
CCUAGAUAUCAAGUAGGAGGGACCCGGGAGAUAGGCCUGGCCUGCCCCCUGCUUUUCUUCCAGUACUAGGGUUGAACCAGGGCACUAUAUUUUUAUUUUUUAUUUACUUUUUUGGUACUAGGAAUUGAAUCCAGGGCCCUUAAUCAUUGAACCACAUUUCCAGCCUUUAUUAUUUUUAGAGACAGGGUUUUGCUAGGUUGCUGAGGGCCUCACUAAGUUGCUGAGGCUGGCUUUGAACCCGCUGGAUCCUCCUCCUGACUGAGCCUCCCGAGCUGCUGAGAUGCCAGUGUGCACCACUGUGCCCAGCUAUAUUUCAUUUUUCGAGACAGGAAGGUUCUCACUAAGUUGCUGAGGUUGGCCUUGAACUCUGGUCCUCUUGCCUUAGGUUUCCCAUCAUGCCAGGUGUCUGUUCCCCUGUUUCGUGACACAGUUUCAUGGUGCAGAAACCAUCUAGAGAGGGUGGUCCCUUGACUGAGCCCACCCAGGGAUCUGAGCCAAGGAGAGAAGGCUGUGGUCCUGGGCACCUGCCCGUUUAACCACCUCCUCACUCCAGUGAGCUGCUGGCCCUUUGCCUCUCAUCUGGGGUCUGUCCCCCUUGUGAUCACAGACCCCCCACUUCCUUUGGGGAACUGUCCCUCCUCUGAGGGGAGCCCAGACCUUUUUCUUAAUUGGCCUGACCCUCCAGGGCUCAGGUCUGAGCCUCUUUAGUUUAGCAUUUUAUUUUGAAGUCAAAGACUCACAGGAAGCUAAGCUCAGAAAAUAU